UUAUUCCGCAUUUCUUAGUGGUACCUUCUAAAAAGACACUGUUUCCAGCAGGAUGAGUAGAAAAAUUGGACCUGGGACUCUUGAGCUCUUACCUCUGCCUUGGGAACAGGGAUGGUGCAAGGUGCUGAGCCGGGGACCCAGGAGCCUGCAGGCCUUGCCCUGCCAAAGGAGGGCAGAAUUCGAUCUUCAUAGUUGUGAAGGGCUGACAGCACUAAAAGUAGAGUGGAGAGAAAAAGUACCAGGGCUACUUUGAUUUUUUGGAUCUGGAGCCAAAACAAAAUUCUUCCGUUCUCACCUCAUCCUGACCUGCAGAGUUCAUCCUUCCUGGAUUUCACAGGAGCUAGUGUUAUCUCUGCUUUUCUGGCCAAGGUAAGCAAUACACAGUAAUAC
rnacentral:lncRNA from 1 species